GCACUGCUGAGGAGUUCCAUAAUGGAACGAAACGACCUUCCAGUGC
rfam:Schistosoma rodhaini strain Burundi genome assembly, scaffold: SROB_scaffold0009846